rnacentral:sRNA from 1 species
ACUUUGACUUUUACCGUCACUUGGUGAGGGUUGCUGCAUCCUCUCCUGUAUUGGAGAGGGGGAGUUAUUGCUAAGGUCCGUCAUCCCUGCCCCUGUGGGGUUACCGUUGAGGGUUGGGGUGCAGGCCUGGGUGGGUAGCCCCGGCUGGGGGUCGGUGUUGGCGUACAUGGCACAGUUUUCACUGGGCAGCUCCUCCAGGUCCAGCAAAUGACUCACGGAGAAGUUAGCCUUGUUGUUUUGUAGAGCAUUGUGAUAAGCGGCAACUUUGUCAAAGUUGUUGGCAAACGGAUGGUGAUCAGCAGACGUUAGUCCGUAGGUACUCAUUCUUCUGAUUGGGUAUCAAGAGUUUUUUCAGGCGAUUGUCAAGUGCUAAUGUGUUGCACACUGUUAAUCACUGUUAUGACGAGAGCAACCUCUCCACAUUCAUUUGAGAAAAUAUAUUAUUUAAAAUCCAACCAACAACAAAAAAAAGCUGCUCUUCUGUGGUCAAUAUUCCGGAAUGAAUGGUUUUGCUGCAAAAGUAGAACUCUUCUACAUAGUGACUUCCAACAUAUGUAGAUGUAAGCCAAAGCUUUGAAAGACGAUACCACAAAACAGCGAGUGUAGUAGGAUCAGAACAUGUGCAAGCCGAGACGAAAUCCCUCCCACAGACCCCCAUAGAAAGAAUAUAUCUCCAGCCUCCAAGAAACGCCAAUCAUCCCAAAUCAGGCUUUUGAUUGGAUAAUCCAGCCCCCUGCUGGGAGGUGCUAUACUGCAACGAAACACCCACGUGAUUUAAGCAUCAGUUGCGGAUGUGAAAUCCUAUGUUGACUAACACAACAUGACAUGUAUUUAUUUAUGUAUGAGCGUUUUGCAAUAUAAAAUGUUACGGAAGAUUACAGGAGAAUAUUCUUUAUAAUGUUAAUGCUUUUCUCAAAUAACAUAAUAAAAGCAUCAGCGUUUGAUUUACAACGAAAAGGAACUUCAAUAACCGCAGAUUUAUGCACUCUGAAAUACCAACCCAAUAUUUGAUAUGCUUUAUAUUAUAAAUAUAAUACUUAUUUUGACGUGAGACAGAAAUAUAUCUAUUGUAAUACGAAGUAUUGUAUUUAAUUUUUAUGCAUUUGAAAAUAGCCGGUGUAUAUUUUGCUUUUCUAUCAUACUUUUUCUAAAAAUGAAUUAAGUUUACAAAACGUUUAAAACUUUAUUGGCUUGAAUUCAUGGGUAUCACACGCAAUUACCAAAUAUUAAGAAGUGGGAAAACAUUGAAAAGUAAGUUAUUGUUAUAAAAAGUUUAAAAGGUUGAUUUUUUUUUCAAAUGACAAUUUCAAUUUGAAUCGCAUUUCAAAAAAACUUUCCCAAACGUAAAACAUCCGAUAAAUCCACAUUGAUAAUUUACUGAAUCAAUCAUAAAUUAGGGCCAUAUUUCAAAGUUAAGUUGCAAAUCAUCAAAUGCCUGUAGUGUCCUGUCAGACCAGUGAAAGAUUAGAAGCAACAGUGGCGAAAGUUUCGUUCAAUAAGUGUCUUUUCCUGGAAGGGAGUCUAUCUUGUUUUCUAUCGAACACCACGCCACUAUUAGCAGAAUUAAAAUACUUGUUUCAGCUAAUAUUUUCAUUAACACUAGAAAUCAGACUGAAUAUUUGUCGCUUCAAACCUGAUGCAUUUGUAGAUUGUUUUUUGGGGGGGUUUUUUUCUUUCUUUUUUUUUUGAUUUUUGGUUUUGUUGUUAAAUUUUGUUUGUUUGUUGUUGAUUUUUUUUUAUUAAGCAUGGAAACUCAAAAUUUAUGUUUAAAAGUUAUAUAUACAACUCAAAUCACAUGCAUCAUGGCCCAUAUAAAAGAGGGAGGAGGUAGGGGUAUCCAGACUGUAAAACCGGGAUAGUAUCAUAUAUUAUGAUUAAAUUAUAUGUAGCAUUCGAUCCAUAUUAAAUGUAUUCAUGUGUG